rnacentral:rRNA from 1 species
UACGGAGGGUGCAAGCGUUAUCCGGAAUCAUUGGGUUUAAAGGGUCCGCAGGCGGGAAGAUAAGUCAGUGGUGAAAUCUCACAGCUCAACUGUGAAACUGCCAUUGAUACUGUCUUUCUUGAAUUCGAUCGAAGUGGGCGGAAUAUGACAUGUAGCGGUGAAAUGCUUAGAUAUGUCAUAGAACACCGAUAGCGAAGGCAGCUCACUAGGUCUGGAUUGACGCUCAGGGACGAAAGCGUGGGGAGCAAACAGG